rnacentral:rRNA from 1 species
AAUAGAUACCCGGGUAGUCCACGCCGUAAACGAUGUCGACUUGGAGGUUGUUCCCUUGAGGAGUGGCUUCCGGAGCUAACGCGUUAAGUCGACCGCCUGGGGAGUACGGCCGCAAGGUUAAAACUCAAAUGAAUUGACGGGGGCCCGCACAAGCGGUGGAGCAUGUGGUUUAAUUCGAUGCAACGCGAAGAACCUUACCUACUCUUGGCAUCCAGAGAACUUAGCAGAGAUGCUUUGGUGCCUUCGGGAACUCUGAGACAGGUGCUGCAUGGCUGUCGUCAGCUCGUGUUGUGAAAUGUUGGGUUAAGUCCCGCAACGAGCGCAACCCUUAUCCUUUGUUGCCAGCGGUUCGGCCGGGAACUCAAAGGAGACUGCCAGUGAUAAACUGGAGGAAGGUGGGGAUGACGUCAAGUCAUCAUGGCCCUUACGAGUAGGGCUACACACGUGCUACAAUGGCGUAAUACAAAGAGAAGCGACCUCGCGAGAGCAAGCGGACCUCAUAAAGUACGUCGUAGUCCGGAUUGGAGUCUGCAACUCGA